AGACAUUGAGAUCAGUGUGGUUGAUGAUGAAUCAGAGUCAUCGGUACAGCCAAUCCCUCUUGCCCUCCUGACAUCGCCAGUGUCAUUGUCAGACCAUCCAUCGUCCCCAGCUUCUACCAGUUCAUCAGAUUCAACUAUGAUCCUCAAAAGUACAAAGAACAGGAAGAAGGGCCUACAAGAGCUUGAUCGCGAUGAAGCGAAGCAGGAGGAUUCCGCCCAUAAGUGUUCGGACUAACUAUGCACUGGGGAUUGCAACGCUUUUUCCAUAUCUCCAAGAUCCUUACUCAAAAAAUGGCUAUGAACAUUACUAUGAUCCGGAGGCCAAUACUGGCUAUCUUGCUUGGAGACUCAAGACUGUCCAACGCAAUACCUAUGAUGGUGCUAGUGGGUGUCCCAGGCCAAACUUCCAGGACAGUCCAACAACCCGAAGAGAAUCUUUGUUUGUUAGUGGACAGCUUUUUGGUGAAGAGUGCAGAGAGUUAUUAGACACUCAACAGAUAGGUCUGUGGUUAAAGAGAAGAUGAAAGCUACUUUUGAAUAUAGACAGAAGCUGGUACAUGACCCAGAUGCAACAUCAUCAAUCUUGGAUGUCUUCCCUCAUUUCCUUGAUACACCGGGGUUG
ensembl:lncRNA